GCCUUCAUGGUGUAGUGGUCAACACACUCAGUACGUAACCGAGAGGUCCGUGGUUCGAUUCCUGACGAAGGCG
rnacentral:tRNA from 1 species